rnacentral:lncRNA from 1 species
UGGUUUAUAGACUUGGUUCAUGAUUCAUGAACUUGGUUCAUUUGGUUCAUGAACUUGGUGUACGGUUUAUGGGGUUUUGUUUAUAGUUCAUGAACUUGGUGUAUGGUUUAUGGGGUUUUGGUUCGUGGUUCAUGAACUUGGUUCAUAAGGUUAGGUAUGUGGGAUUUGGUUCAUGAACUUCGAUAUGGUUCAUGGGAUUCACAAACUUGGAUAAGCUUCAUGAACUUGGUUCAUAGUUUAUGGGAUUUGGUUUAUGAACUUGGGUAUGGUUCGUGGUGUUUGGUUCACGAACUUGGUUCGUGAUUUAUGGGACUUGGGUUCAUAAACUUGGGUAUGGUUCGUGGUGUUUGGUUCACGAACUUGGUUCAUGGUUUAUAGGAUUUGGUUCAUGAACUUGGAUAUGAAUCCUAGUUGGAAGUCGGGUUUGGGUUCUAUUUGUGGUCCGGAUUGGAUUUGAGUUUGGGAUUUUAUUUGUGGAUUGGAGUGGUUUUGGGUUUAUCUGUGGUCUGUAUUUGCUUUUGGGUUUUAUUUGUAGACUUGGUUUUAGUUUGGGGGAUUUGAUUUGGGUUUUCGGUUUGGGUUUUUUAUUUUGGUUUGAAUUUUAUUUGUGGACUUGACAUGGGUUUCGGGUUUGGGUUUUGUUUUUCAAUUUGGAUUUGGGUUUUGGUUUUGGUUUUUGAUUUGGGUUUUGGUUUUUUAUUUGUGGACUUGGUUUGGGUUUGGAUUUGGAUUUUAUUUGUGGACUUAGUUUUCUUUUCAAUUCUAUUUCGGGUCCGAGGAAAUCCUCUUUUGAUUUUGCAAUUUGAUUUGGGGUCCGAAGAAAUCCCUUUUUGAUUUUGUAAGUUGACUUGGGGUCCGAAGAAAUCCCCUUUUGAUUCUAAUUUGAUUUGGAUGCGAAAAAAUCCCCUUUUGAUUUCGCAAUUUAAUUUGGGGUCCGAAAAAAUCCUCGUUUGAUUUCGAUUUGGGGUCCGAAGAAAUCCCUAUUUGAUUUCGUAAUUUGAU